UCAGGACGAACGCUGGCGGCGUGCCUAACACAUGCAAGUCGAGCGAUGAAGCCUUCGGAACGGAUUAGCGGCGGACGGGUGAGUAACACGUGGGUAACCUGCCUUGUAGAGGGGGAUAGCCUUCCGAAAGGAAGAUUAAUACCGCAUAACAUCUUUUUAUCGCAUGGUAGAAAGAUCAAAGGAGCAAUCCGCUACAAGAUGGACCCGCGGCGCAUUAGCUAGUUGGUGAGGUAACGGCUCACCAAGGCGACGAUGCGUAGCCGACCUGAGAGGGUGAUCGGCCACAUUGGAACUGAGACACGGUCCAGACUCCUACGGGAGGCAGCAGUGGGGAAUAUUGCGCAAUGGGGGGAAACCCUGACGCAGCAACGCCGCGUGAAUGAAGAAGGCCUUAGGGUUGUAAAGUUCUGUUUACGGGGACGAUAAUGACGGUACCCGUGGAGGAAGCCACGGCUAACUACGUGCCAGCCGCAGC
rnacentral:rRNA from 1 species